CGCUUCUGAACAAGUAAAACCCUUGUUCUCAAUCAUUCUUGAUAUCAUCUCUUUUUCGAUUCUAAUCAUCCAAAAAUGCAAAGAAUUCAUCAAGCUUGGAUUCCGAUAUACUUUUUCUUUGGGUAUUGCGUUGCGUAAUUUUCCUUACUCUUUGUCAAUUUUAAUCAAAAACGUCUCUUUGUCCAGAUCGAUGAUUCUGAGCUAUUUAUCCUGACAGUUUUAAAAGGCCUCAAGCAUUGUGUUGUUGUUGGAUGCUGACCACAACUGUCACUCCACCUUGCUGUUAUUGCUGCUCAACAAUGUUGCUGCUGCUGUUGUUGAUCCACGAUGCUAUUGUUGUUAGUCUCCCCAGGCUACACAAAACAACUAGUUCCUACCCAAGGAUCCAGAAAUAUUAAAGGGUGUGCUGUGAAUUUAAGGCUUACAAUGAGUUAUUGGUCACAAUUUGAACUUUCCUCUAUGCCCUGCUGCAAGCAUAUUAAGGAGCAGCUAAAAAAAAAAGAUUGACUGAAGAUAUUUUUUUUCUGAAGAAAUAAGCGGAGUUGUCUGAUGGGCAUCAAAGAACUUAUUGAUUAAGAAGAAAUCCUUGAUUUCAAAUGUGUUGUUAAAAUCCAAAACUACAUUAGGUGUAAAAAUAUUAUAACUAAUUGCUUAGAAACAUUGUUGCUAAUUUUACUUGUAUUAAAAUAUUAUGUGUACCAGAAAAUAUUAAUUAAUUUAUUUAUAUACAAUAAAACAAGAUUUUUGUUUAUA